GCGAUGGUCAAAUCAAAUAUAUGGAUAGUAGAAAGAGUAAAUGAUAAUUUUUGGCAUAGAUAGACAGAUGGAUAUGUAAUGUUUGAAAUUACACGGCGUUAUAGAGGAUUAAUUUAUACACUUAGCUUUCUCAUUGGAUAAAUAACUUUCUAUGGUAUUUACAAUUUUCAAGCUUUUUUACAUAUACCAACCUAAGAGAAAUUGUUUCGUGAAGCCUCCAUUGGAGAUAUUAAUAUUUACCCUUGUGCAUGAUUUGAUGUGCGUAAAAAUCUCCAACACAAGUAUAUGAGAGGUCGUAAAUUGAAUCUCAAACGGGAAGUGAAAUUUAUACGUGCGAGGCAUCCUUUUUGAGAAUACUGACUUUGCGCUUGUAUCCACGCUCUAAUUGCAUAUGCCUUCGUGCAUACGAAUUAGGAUAAGUUGGAAAUCAUAUUAUGUAGUAAAUGGUGUCUAUCGAAGAAGGUAUCAUUUCUACCAUAAAAACGAACUAAAAAUGUAUAGCAUGAAAGUUAGAGAUAAGAAACUCGAUCUUCGAAAAAGUAGAAUAUGAAUUAAUUAGCCAUAUUCUGGUCGCACAUUUUCACAUUUUCCGAUAAUAAUAAUAAUAUGCGAUAAUAAUAUGCCGAAAAUUUACUUAUUCAUCUUCUUUUGCUUAAAAAAUAAAACGUGGAUAUUACGAAUCAUUCAUGUGCUCGUAAUGUGAACGUCCGUGGGUCAGAGUCAAUGAGUACCUGUUCUUUCUCCUCCUCCUCCUUCUCCUCCUCUUCUUCUUCUUCUUUUUCUUCUUCUUCAUCUUCUUUCUUCUUUGCUUUUUUUUCGUUCAUUUCGAAGUGUAAUGACUCAUGGAUUUGUUUGAAUAAUACAAACAUGUUCAAUCGUUUGGAUUAUGCAUUUCUUCAUUUUGCAUCUAUGUAUAUAGUUCCUUUUAUUAAAAUCGGCGAAAGUUAAUGAUGAUUGCAAAUAUGUAUUACAAAUCUAUAUCUCCCGUUCGACGAAUAUAGAGAUAACGCGAUUAUUAUUCUGUCGUACGUUGUAUGUGAACGAAUCUAUGACUCAUAAAUUUAUACAGCCGUGUAUAGUGAAAUACAGUAUAUUUGAUUCGUGUACGAUGAGAAAAAAAUAUGUGGCAACUUUUGUUCUCUCUUCGUAUCAAAUACUUCACAUAUUUACAUAGCAGUGUGCAAGUUAUUGCUGACUAGUGUAAUAUUUAAAAUACAAAUCUGUUAUUGCUUAGAUGCGCUUUUUCUUAUUAAUAUGCAUCUCCGGAAGUUAUGAAAUGGGGAUUUAACGCGGCAAUAGUUACAUAUCGACUAACAGUAAGUAACUGCUACUCAAAUAUUAUAAAAUCGAAGGUGGAAAUGCUUACUGCUCGUUACGAUUCAAACGUUCCAAAUGUUUCAAAUAUCGAGCACUAAUGUGUGAAAGGUGUGUAGAAGAACGAGAGAGAGAGAGAGAGAGAGAGAGAGAGAGAGAGA